rnacentral:rRNA from 1 species
AUAACGACUCUCGGCAACGGAUAUCUCGGCUCUCGCAUCGAUGAAGAACGUAGCGAAAUGCGAUACUUGGUGUGAAUUGCAGAAUCCCGCGAACCAUCGAGUCUUUGAACGCAAGUUGCGCCCGAAGCUAGAAGGCCGAGGGCACGCCUGCCUGGGCGUCUCGCA